GGUGGCUCAGUGGUAGAGUGCUUGUCUUGCAUGCAUGAGUCCCUGGUUUCAAUUCCAGAACCA
rnacentral:tRNA from 1 species